ensembl:lncRNA
GAAAAUGAGAGGGAGAGAGUGGAGGGUGGGGAGAGGGCCAGAAAAAGAGAGAGGGUGGAGGGUGGGGAGAGGGCCAGAAAGUGAUAGAGGGGGAAAAGGGAGAGGAGAGGGUGGAGGGUGGGGAGAGGGCCAGAAAGUGAUAGAGGGGGAAAAGGGCCUGUUGGAAAAUAGAAACGUUAGUGAGUCUUUGUGUGGAUCUGGAGCUGCUCCUGAGGGGUCGACUCUCAGCGCGCCCCGGUGACGUGACGUCCUGAUGAUGUCCUGUUUGCGUCCUGUUGGUCUGCAGAGACAAGGAGAAGAGACGUGAGGAGGAUCAUCGGGAUGUGAGAAAACAUUCAUAGAUCCAAUUAUUUUAAUUUGAUGCACCUUCAUUUAGUUAUUUCAUGUUUGUAUCUACAUUAUAUAAUGUGGUUGUUAAAGUGUAUUUCUGUAUAUGCUUUUCAUGUUUAGCGAGUCUCUGUGCAUACCAACAUGUUAGAGUGUCUCUGUGUAAGUACUUUUAUAUGCGUCUCUGUGUACAUGUACAUGAUAACAGCAAGAAUCAGA